CAGUAGCCGCGGUAAGACAGAGGAUGCAAGCGUUAUCCGGAAUGAUUGGGCGUAAAGCGUCUGUAGGUGGCUUUUCAAGUCCGCCGUCAAAUCCCCGGGCUCAACCCUGGACAGGCAGUGGAAACUACCAAGCUGGAGUACGGUAGGGGCAGAGGGAAUUUCCGGUGGAGCGAUGAAAUGCGUUGAGAUCAGAAAGAACACCAACGGCGAAAGCACUCUGCUGGGCCGACACUGACACUGAGAGACGAAAGCUAGGGGAGCAAAUGGGAUUAGAUACCCCCGUAGUCCCUGUCUCUUAUAC
rnacentral:rRNA from 1 species